UAAUACACAUAGAUGUCGUUCUGCAUCUCCC
rnacentral:piRNA from 1 species